AAAACACAGCUGCUUUAAAAUCGAAGCUUAGUAAAUUUUUGGAAGGAUGCAUAAAUUAAAGUAUAUAAUUAAUAAAAAUUUAAUGGUUACAAGGUUGUGAAUAUUUCUAAUAAAACAUUUUACGUAGUAUGUAGUUAAAAUAAUUAAACAUUAGCAUAGCAAUUCAUCAAGACUGAAGCCAUGUCCACACUUACACGGGUAUUUUUAUAAACAGUUUCCCUCUCAUAGGUCCACUUCGAUGCUGCGAUGACGUCAUCGCUUUAGGAACACCUUCGGUGUGACGAAUGUCUGCAGCCCUUAUACCUUCACACGAAUUAAUUGGCCAAAUAGCGCUUAGCACCGCCCCAAUGCACACGUAGCGGACAAAGACCCAUCAACGCAUAGUGAGAGCAGCUGAGAAGAUCGUUGGUGUCCCCUCUGCAAAGUCCUCUGCAUUGUAGGUGAUCCCACCCACCCAUCACAUAGCUUCUUCAGUCUGCUGCCAUCAGGGAGGAGACUGCGGAGUCUCCAGGCCAGGACCAACAGACUGAAGGACAGCUUCAAUCAUCAGGCUGUCAGAAAGUUGAACUCCCGACUGACCUUGCCCCCCUUCCCUCUUUUUCCCCAUGUACCAAUGAACUCUGAACCCCAGUCUCCCCCCACAGCUCCCACUACACACUGGGACCUGCACCAGACACUUUGUGCAGCAUUGGUCUGCCCACUACCUCAUUUAGUAUUUAACUGACCUCAUUCAACUACCUCUUCUGUCAGUUUAAAUAAAGAACUGCUCUCUGAGAUUUUUGACACUUUAAUCAGACUGAAUAAGCUCUUUGCACUACAAUCAUGUGCCUUGUGCUGCUUUACUUAUCUUUCUUUUUACAUGACCUAUUUGUAUAUUUGUAUAGUUGUACUUUAUAUUUUAUCUGUAUUUAAUGUUCUACUGUUAGGGUUAGCUGUAUGCACCAAGGGUCUGAGAGUAACGCAAUUUCAAUUCUCUGUAUGCAUGUACUGUAAAUGUGGAAGAAUCGACAAAUAAAGCAGACUUGACUUGAUCUGAGACACUCAUGACAGAUGCGUGCUAUGUUUGGGCCGACAACACGCUCAAGCAGCGCUUAGCAGCUUUUUUGAUUGUCAACACUGUGAUAGCCUGCGGCUAAAAGUAUUGCGCUCGAGGCUCGCGGCUUUCUCUAAGAAAGUAGGCCCCAUGUCUAACCCCCGCUAUCCCGUUUCUGCGGUUGCCGAGGCGCCGCAUGAGACGGUCGCUUUUGGUGACACAUGCGAGCCGGAGCUCAUAGAGGGUGAGACAAUGGAGUUUUCUCCUUUUCUCUUGCUCUCUCCAGGCCAAGUGCAAGUGCUCGAAGAGCACUACAGGGAUCCCGUUGUCUUUGGCAACGAUAAUUUGUGGCCUACCCUGGAAGUUCGUGAUACGAUGUCUUUCGGUUGUAUGCUGUGUGAUGAAGACUUGCUGUCCACAGCGGUCUCUGAUUCGGAGGAUUUAUUGGUUGAAGUGUGCAGUUCUCUCCCUCUGAGUGGACAGGAGAAACGCACCUCCCCGUCUUGCAGCGAACUGUUAGACAUUGUAACACGCGCUGUGGAUAAGUUGGGGUUAGAGAGGGAUAGCGAGCCGGUGAAAAAUUAGGCACAGUCGAAACUGGACGAUUGAUUUCUGUCUACCACGCACUCCAUCUCAGCCCCGUAGGCCUAUCCCUUUCUUCCAAGACCUCCACCACAAGGUUUUGAGGUCUUGGAAACAACCUUUUUCGGCACGUAUCACUAAUUCUGCCUCCGCUGAUUUUGCCACGGUUUCUAAGAUGGCAGAACACUGAUAUGUGGCGUUGCCAGCCGUAGAAGAGACUCUCGCUGCACAUCUCGCGCCGAACUCGGCUCCAUCUUGGAAGUCAC
ensembl:lncRNA